rnacentral:ncRNA from 1 species
UUAAAGUUUUAUUCUAGCUAAAGAAUUUUCUAUCGGGUUGUUUCACAUGUAAUUAAUUGGGAGUUAGAUAAAGACAUCUAAAAGAUUCUUUAAUAUUGUUGUAUUCGCAGUGUUUUGUAUUGGUCACUCAAGGUAACUUGGAUCCAGUAAUUUUGUUAAUUCCGGCAAAACUCGUGCCAGCCGCCGCGGUUACACGAAGGGGGUAAGAAUAUUUUAUUGGUUUGUAAUUAAUUUUUUAAGAGGUUAGAAAAAGGAAUUUAUUAGGUGAAAUUUUAAAUUUUUAGUUAAUCGUAAAAUCGUUGAAUGAAGUUAUGAAGUUUAGGAGAUAAACUGGGAUUAGAUACCCCAUUAUUCUAAAAGUUAAAAUAAAAUCAGAGUAGUAAUAGUUAUGUUCUUGAAACUCAAAGAAUUUGGCGGUGUUUUAAUCCGGUCAGAGGAACCUGUCCCGUAAUCGAUAACCCACGUUUAUUUGACUUAAUUUAGUAUUCAGCUUGUAUACCGCCGUCAUAAGAGUGAUUCGAGAGAAUACCCUCAAGGUUUCUGAUUAGGAAAGAUGUCAGGUCAAGGUGCAGUUUAUAAUUAAGGGGAGAUGGGUUACAAUAAUUUUAAUUACACGGACAUUUUUUUGUAAAAGAAGAUUGAAGGUGGAUUUGGAUGUAAUAAAAGGAAUGAAGUUUUUAUGAUAACGGCUCUAAAACAAGCACACAUCGCCCGUCGCUCUCGUUUUUUAAGGCGAGAUAAGUCGUAACAUAGUAGAUGUACCGGAAGGUGUCUCUAGAAAGU